GACGAACGCUGGCGGCGUGCUUAACACAUGCAAGUCGAACGGAAAGGCCCUGCUUUUGUGGGGUGCUCGAGUGGCGAACGGGUGAGUAACACGUGAGUAACCUGCCCUUGACUUUGGGAUAACUUCAGGAAACUGGGGCUAAUACCGGAUAGGAGCUCCUGCUGCAUGGUGGGGGUUGGAAAGUUUCGGCGGUUGGGGAUGGACUCGCGGCUUAUCAGCUUGUUGGUGGGGUAGUGGCAUACCAAGGCUUUGACGGGUAGCCGGCCUGAGAGGGUGACCGGCCACAUUGGGACUGAGAUACGGCCCAGACUCCUACGGGAGGCAGCAGUGGGGAAUAUUGCACAAUGGGCGGAAGCCUGAUGCAGCAACGCCGCGUGCGGGGUGACGGCCUUCGGGUUGUAAACCGCUUUCGCCUGUGACGAAGCGUGAGUGACGGUAAUGGGUAAAGAAGCACCGGCUAACUACGUG
rnacentral:rRNA from 1 species